rnacentral:lncRNA from 1 species
UCGCUUGCCUCUUGCCACAGAGGAUGAUCACAGUUUGUGCCGUGUUUCUCUUUCAUGGCUUGGGAUAAGAGUUGGAAAACCAUGCGUGUCCAACAGCUGGCCUCUUGAGUCACCUGGAGGGAGCAGGUACAUUGUCGGAAGUCCCUUGCAGCUCUGCUCUGGCGUUCUCUGCCAUCCACACUAGAAAAUGCUGCAGCAGCCUCUGCUGACCAUCAGCCAGGACACAGGUCCUGUGACCAGCCUCACCCUGCAGUGCCUGCAUCUCAGAAUUCAGUGAGAGUCUUUCGAGCCUUUUGUGUUUUGGACUAUGGGGACUUGGGAUUUUUUAAUUUUAUUAUUAUUUUUUUGUUUUGUUUUUGGCAACUUUCCUUCGUUCAUAACAUGAAAGACAAACAGAAAUGUCUGUGUUCCAGAAGGAAGUGCCUUGGAGGUGCAUCUUUCUACAUGGCAUUGCCUCUGUAUGUGAACAUGUAUUACUUUAAGAUUAGAAUUCUGCUUUCUUCACCAUUCAUAAUUUAGUUUCUCUUUAAAAACCAGGUAUUUAAGCAUCUUUAUGUUCAUGUAUACUCUGCUAUGAAGCCAGCGUGUGAUCUAAACAGAGGUACUAAGAAAGCAACAGAAUCCUCCAAAGGGAAUAAUCAGUUCAGCUUGAGAAGGUACAGUAAGGACUCCCUCGGGCUAUCAAGAUAGGAUUAACAGUAGUGGCAAGCCUGUGUCCAGAAAUUGGCCAGCCUCUCCAAGCCCUUCACCAUAGUCACCUGUCAGGAAUGUCACGUCAUUGCCAGGUGAGAGGCCUUCUGGGUAAACAGGCAGAUUGCUCGCCCUACCCUCUCCAUGCCAUCCACCACAGUACCUUGCCCACUUCUUGCCUAACAGGUGUUGCCUGGCACAGAGGACUUGAAUGAAAUGCAGUCCUCCUGUUAGUUUUGUUCUGUUCCUAGAGAAGCAGUUCCUUUCCUGGCAUCGUUGCUUCUCUUCACAGAAGAAGUAAUAAUCACCAUUCUUGGGCCCCAACCACACUUAGCACUGGCGACCCAGAGUGCUUCCUAGGACAAGCCGCUUCUGCUCUCUGGCACUGGGAAGGCCUGGUGUGCACCUCACACAGCCACACCCCUGGUGGCUGGCUGCAAUGUGAGAGCAGAACUCUCUCCAGGGCGUCAUCACCACUGUGAUUUAACCUGGUCCGAGAAAGGCCACCUAGCUUCAGUCUGGCCACUAUUACUGCUAUCAAUUUUUCUCUGUGUGGUCGCUCCAUCACAGAGCUUUGAAAAGGGAAUUAGAGGUAAAAUAUUCAAAGAUCAAUGGUGUGGUUGGAUGCUAGGAUCUAUAGCCACUUGGCAAGUUGCAGAGAACUGUGUGUUGUAAAUCAGUAAUAGAAGUAAGUCUGUCUGAGCUGGAGCAUGACUGCCCAAGGAAUGGAAAUGCACUAUUGGGGAAGCUCAGACUCCCAGCAAGCCUGUGUGGAUUCCCAGUCUUGUAUAGACGAAGUCAGACCUUCAGUAGAACACUUUACACUGUUGGGUGGCCCUACAUACCAUGCUGGUCAUAUCCCAGCUACGGCCCAUCCUUAGGAGUGCCCAGAGAUUGAAAGUUGACAGUGAUGAAAAUCAUGGGUGCCUACCACAGAUUGACCAAGGUUUCCAUGGCUCUGCCCUUUCCUCUCUCCUUACCCAUGUGGCUAGUGAUGGGAAAUUAUGUAUCAGAAAACCAGCUCUGCAUGUGAUACUGUGAAUCUUCUACUUGCCUGGUAUCUCCAUUAACCCACGGGGAAUGCAUGCUGGUGCUCACGGUGUCCAGGCACUGACCUCGUCCACCAGGCAUGAGGGCUGGCACAGUGCUUGGCUCGUUUCUCCUCUGGGGAAAAAAUUGACAAAUCUGUCAUCCUCUUGGGUGUACACUUGACUUUUCUUGCUGUGCUAUGGAAACCACAGCUCUGGUACCCGUAGUGAGGACAGCCGUGCUGGGAGGUAGGGAGACUGCACAUGCGGAGUUUCUCCUACUUGGUGAAUGAAGAGCAUCUUUCAGUCUUAGUGUUUCCAAGGGAAAGCAUUUAGUGAGCCACCUGGCUGUCUCCACCAUAGCAACAAUGGUUUUAGAAUAAGUACUUGAAAUUUUGUAUCACUUUAUAAAAGGCCAGUCAACAUAAUGUGUUUCUCGUUUAGUUAUUUGAAUUAUUCAUGAAGUUACAAAAAUUAUGAAGUUGGAAAAGUAUAUUGAGGUCUCAGAUGUCCCAGGUUGGUCACACCAGGCAGUUAGACAGAGGUAAAGUGUAAACAAGACAUUCUCAAAGAACUACUCAAGAAUAAUGGCACUUGCUAUUACCAGUGGCAUUGUGAGUAGGCAGAAGGGCAGCACUUUUGCCUGGGCAGGAAGUCUCUGGACUCAGGUUUAAUACUGUUGAGCACAUUUGACAAACUCUUGGUUAUGAGUGGGAACAUGUUACAUCAGAAGGUGGGUGGUACCACUGAUCUGUAUGCCGACACCCCUUCCCACAUUAGUCCCCACUGACCGCCCUAGAGUCCCACUGCCCUGCUGGCUAAAGGCUGCUCCUCUUGGUCUGGGCCUAUGGUAUUUGUCAUCGUGAUGAGAGGCAUCGCCUUCUUAGCAUCUCAGAGUUAUAUUCUAAAAGCAUUCUAUAUUUUUGUUUAACAUCCUUUAAAAGCUUGAAUUUGAGCUUUAAAGCAAAAGAAUAGUACCAUAUGUCACAGUAACCAGAAUAUGCAUUAAUGAAGGGCCUUUGGCUUUGUCUUUUCAUAAUAUUUAAAUACAUAUAUAUUUGUAUAUAAGUGAGCUUGUUCGCAAAGAUUUAUAUUUUAAAGCAGAAGAAAAGCAUUUUCCAAAGUGCUCUUAUUUUUCUUUCCCUUGAAAUAACGUUGGGUUGAGGUGGCUCCUCAUCACCCUGAUGAAACGACACGAAUGUUGAUCAGUUUGCCACUUUGUCAGGCAGUAAAGUCCUACCGGGGAAGCCUGUGUGCGCCUAUAAACUGGAGUUCAGCUUGACAGCCAAGAACUACACACCAGGCCUCAGGGCUUUAGGUCUGCGCUUUCACCUUUUAAUGUUUCCACCAAAAGCCUCGAGGCUAGCUCAGACAGCAGUGUCUGUUGCCUGCAUGGGUCCUCCCUUGUAUUUCCCAUGCCACGACCUUUUCAAAGUCUUUAUUUUGAAAAGGUGGUCAGAACUCUGAGUGAGGUGUCAAUUCAACCACAGUGCUUACAGUCCCCUCUAGACCUGUGACUGGGUUCUACGACUGGUGUUUAUUACAGGACUAAUGCACACGACCACCAAUCACAGAGCUGACCUCACUUAGGCACAUGAACACACUGCACUGCCAGAUCAGACGAGGUUCUCUCUGGGCUUUUCCAUCUAGGGCUUUGUCUUAGUUAGGGUUUUACUGCUGUGAACAGACACCAUGACCAAGACAACUCUUAUAAGGACAACAUUUAAUUGGGACUGGCUUACAGGUUCAGAGGUUCAGUCCAUUACCAUCCAGGCAGCAACAUGGCAGCAUCCAGGCAGGCAUGGUACAGGAGGAGCUGAGAGUUCUACAUCUUUAUCUGAAGGCUGCUAGCAGAAUACUGGCUUCCGGGUAGCUAGGAUGAGGGUCUUAUAGCCCACACCCACAGUGACACACCUACUCCAACAGGACCACACCUUCUAAUUGUGCCACUCCCUGAGCCGAGCAUAUACAAACCAUCAUGGGCUUAGUUGGUGUUGUUUUAGAAAAAGAUGGUGAAAUUGUUAGUACCAUCUAAUUUAAAAGAUACCUCAAACUGUUCACCUUGGGAGGUUGAGACUAUCUGACUGGGGAGAUAAAGUGUUUAGAAAGUUUAGAUUGGUUCAAAGGGUAGAUUUCAAAUCUUAUUUAAAUAUUUAGAGGUUUUUUGUUUCCCCUCUUGGUUCUUUGGGAUGCAUGAGGGGGUAUUUUUUUUUUCUUUUUUGUUGUUAAGGGAAAGCAGUUUGAGUUUGCUUCUGUAUAGUUCUUAUUGUUCAGAUGGUUACACAGCCUUUCGUUUAUAGCAUAUGUCAGUGUGAAGUAUGGACCAAACCACUAACAUGCAAUUACCGUUGUUCUGUGUGAGCUUCUGUCUCAUGCCAUUUGUCUUGCAUUUUAAAUGGUGUUUUCAAGGUAUUGUCAUUUGGAGAGGAGAAAAAUCUCACAUAACAAGUGUAAAAACUGUUACUAACUGGACAGCGGGGGAGCUGUUAGCCCUGCAGUGGUGCCUACCCCUUGCUGUAUUGUCACCAGGUACUUUUGCACAGCUGCCUCCUGGGGCUCACAUCUGGAUGUGGCUGCCACAGGCUUGUUUUUCCAACAAAAUAAAAC